GCCCAACUAUUUUAAUUAAUAUCUCAAAAUUUUACGUGGUUGUUUGAAAAAUGAACUAUACACAUUUUUGUUCACUUUUAUGUGUUCUACUUAUAUUUUUCUUUUCGUACGUCUUACACGAGACAUCCUAUAUAACGUAAUGCUUAUGAGAUAAAAAUAAUAAAGCAAAUGAAAAAUAUCCUAACAAAUAUAUCAAACUUCUUAACAAAACAUUAAGAACGAUCAUGAAAGUAUAUCCUGUAUCUAUCAUGUUUUUGUUGGAUAAUAAUUUUUAUAAUACUUAAAAUAAUUUAACAUAUAAAUGUUUUUAAAUAUUGAUAGAUUUUAAUUAAAUAUUAAUAUUAUACUAAAAUAAAUAAUUAAGAUUAAUAAUAAUAAUUUGCCGUGUAUAUGUCCGGAUAUAGGGACAUGUCUGGCUAUUGGUACCUUUACUUUUUGGCACUUUGAAAAACUAUGUGCAAAGUUUUAACAUUUUUUCUUCUGAUGUUUUGAAGGCGAUUCGUCCGAUUUAUGAUGAUCUUUUAAAAGAAGAAUUGCUGAAACGUUGUCUUGAUAACAUAACAAUAAACGAUAACAUACAAAGCAUGCAGAAGAUUUUCCCGUGCCUAACAAAAAUAAAAUUUCAGGAAGGGCUAAAGAUGUAUGCGCAUACAUGGUUGUAUGCUGUAAAAAAUAAAUAAACAAAAAUGUAUAAAUGUAUAUAUAGUAAAAAGUUCAUACUUUAAGCCCUAAAAAACCUGAACUAUCUUUUUUAGUUAAAUAGAAAAUAUUUUAAGCCCUAAAAAACCUGAUGCUAUCUUUUUUAGUUAAAUAGAAAAAAAUUAAUAAAAUAUGCUAAUUUUUGAGGUCGAGAUAUGUUUAUACCUUCUUAUGGUAAACAUAAAACUAGAUAAGUCAAUUAUAAACUUGCGAUAAUAAUUUAAUAAUUUAUAUAAUACAUUGCAGAGAAUUCUUCUUCGCGAGAAUUUGUUAAAACUACACUCUCUUACUUAUAUUUCAUUGCUCUUCUCUUCAAACAUUAUUCGCAUUGUUGUGAAGUACGAGAAUAUAGUUGAUAGAUACUGGAACAUUAAUGAUAUCAAAAAUAUGUUUUUUUCACAGGAGAUAAUUACAUAUACGCGUGCAUAUACGUACACAUACACAUGCAUUUAUUUUAGGUGUAUAAAAUGUGCAUAUUUGCAAGUCAUUGAGUAACUGAGUAAUCAUGGCAAUAAUUAAAGUUAUUGUCUCACCGACGCGUAGUAACGUAAGGAUAACGAAGGCAAACCGCAUGGCUGCUUGUGCCACAUCAUUGGUCUAGAGAACAUACCAUGGAAUAAUGACAUUAUUUUAUGAACAUAAUAAUAUCUUUCUUUACGAAUAAUGGACUUACUACAUGGAUUAAAUGUUCGGCAGGCCACGCAUA